CCUGGCUCAGAAUGAACGUUGGCGGCGUGGAUUAGGCAUGCGAGUCGUGCGAGAAUCGUAGCAAUACGAGGACAGCGGCGCAAGGGAGAGGAAUAAGUAGAAAUCUACCCUCGGAUCGGGGAUAGCGGCGGGAAGCUGCCGGUAAUACCCGAUAACGUCUUUGGACCAAAGGUGUGAUUCCGUCUGAGGAUGAGUCUACUUCCUAUUAGCUAGUUGGCGGGGUAAUGGCCCACCAAGGCAACGAUGGGUAGCAGGUGUGAGAGCAUGACCUGCCUCAUUGGGACUGAGACACUGCCCAGACACCUACGGUGGCUGCAGUCGAGAAUCUUCGGCAAUGGACGAAAGUCUGACCGAGCGACGCCGCGUGCGGGAUGAAGGCCUUCGGUUGGUUAACCGACGUCGUCGUAGGGGUAACGAAAGUAGUACGGGGUACGUACCCGUCG
rnacentral:rRNA from 1 species